rnacentral:lncRNA from 1 species
AUGUUGAUCUUAGGUCAGGCUACAUUUCCUCAGCCCCAUUCCUCAAUUUACCAAAGUGGCAGAAGAAGGCUUUUCAAAUGACAGAUAAUGCCUUUGCCUUUUGUAAGUAAACCAGUCCCUCCGUGCUACUGUAUGAUUGUUUGGACUGUCGUGUGUCACAACUCAAUAAAAUAUAUUGAAAAACAUUUGAAUAUAGCUCUAUAGGUUGCGAUUUUCAUUACUAAACAUGUUUGUUUAGCCUGUAACUGCAAGGUCGAUAUGGACGGGUGCCCUAUCAUCACCAUCCUACGCUAGCUAAACUUCAGCCUGAAGCUUUCCAGCCACAGUGGUUAGCGUUCUCGUGCGACAUAUGAAGCGGAAUCGUUUUACCUGUGUGUUUUCACCUUCACGAAAGGCAAGAGCUACUCUCUGUCUUAAAAACGUUCCUAAAUCACGACCUUUCUUUGAUUCGUCCCGUGGCCAUUCUUCGCAGAGUUUCAAGAACCGACGGUACCGUGUUGCAGACAUUUUCUGUUAUGGAACGCAAAAAACGAAUGUGAAUAUGUUAGAUAAAGACAUCAUUGAACGACCUGAGUUUGGGUGCUAUCGGCGACCGUAGUUUAAACUUCAUGGCGUUCCGUAUUGGUGUUACAUGUAAAUCCUUCCCCUCGUUGGGAAAUCGUUAUUUAGCAGAAAGGCAAGCGCUCACACUAAAAAGCUAAUAUGAGUGGAGCUGGAAAAAAGGCUGUCGGGGCACCGUCAGGUGGUGUCGGGGAAUGGAUCAGUACCGCAUGUCGGUUCGCUACAGAUAGGAAUGAUUUUCGAAGGAACCUACUGGUCAACCUGGGCCUUUUUGCAGCUGGAGUUUGGGUUGCCAGGAAUCUCUCAGAUUUUGACCUGAUGUCUCCUCAACCGAUCACGUAGUACAAAGCUGGAUGGAUGUCGGGAGGUGUCUCGGACCAAAAUGGCAGUCGAAGGGACAAGAUAUGCUUCAUAUUUACCAUUUUGUUUGGCGAUGGAAUAAUGUUAAAGAUAGUCUGGAAACUGGUGUGAUUGAUAAUUACUUUAUUCAAACUGUAUUGCUUUCAGUAUCUCAACACACUUUCAGUUAUUUUCAUUAUGUACGUGUUAGAUCCAAUGCACACAGUGACAUAACUUACGGCAAUUAUUUACCUGCUUAAAUAAAGGUCAUAAUAAUAAUACUUCAACUCGUAUCUUAAGUGCUAGAGAGUACUUCAAAACGGAGCUAGGUGUGGAAUCAAUAAUAAAACAGAAAUUCUUCAAGAAUCUAAGUCUGUGUGUAACAGUGUAGGUUCCGUCCCUCUCUUCGCCCCAACCGGGGCUCGAACCAGGGACCCUUGCACACAUCAA